rnacentral:rRNA from 1 species
UAGGGAAUCUUCCACAAUGGGCGCAAGCCUGAUGGGGCAACACCGCGUGAGUGAAGAAGGGUUUCGGCUCGUAAAGCUCUGUUGUUGGAGAAGAACGUGCGUGAGAGUAACUGGUUCACGCAGUGACGGUAUCCAACCAGAAAGUCACGGCUAACUACGUGCCAC